rnacentral:lncRNA from 1 species
AACGAAGAAAACAUAACAAAGAUGCAUAAGAACUAGCUAACUAAGGCGCAUAAAUAUGCUCCUAUCAGGUGCUCACACUGGUCUUAUUGAGGAGAAUGUGUAGUUGAAGAAUGAGAAAGCCGGUCACGAAGUGGCGCCUGCUUCUUGUUAGGCCAAUUUCUACAAGCUUGGUUAUGUAAACCAUCUUCAAGGUAGGCCGUCAGAUUAUGAGUUUUUCGAGAAGGACUUUGAGACUUUCUCCAUUUCUCCAGUUGAUCUAAUUAACUUCUCAUUUGAGGCUAUCUUUGGUGGAGCAGUUAAGGGUCAGGCAGUCCAGGCAAGGGCGACUAAGGAUGAGCUGAUGGAAGAUUUGGCUGCUGAAGGCGUGCUUCUCGUAGAGAGCAAAAAAGUCCGCAUAGCUGCUAUAACCGUAUAUUUUGGCUUUAACGGCUGCACGAGCUUUGGCCCCCCAUGGCAUGGUGCAAACUUUUUAACUUAUAGAGUCGGUGGGCAAACACGUGCUUCUCAUAGAAAGUAGAGGAUUCCGCGUAGCUGCUAUAGUCAUACAUUUCAGCUAUUGCGGCUGUACAAACCUUAGCCCUUGCAGGGCAUGUUGAAAUUUUUAACUUAUGGAGCCGACGUCUAGACACGUGCUUCUCGUAGAAAUCAGAUGAGUCCACGUAGCUGCUAUAGUCGUACAUUUCAGCUUUAACAGCUGCACGAACCUUAGCCCUCGCAGGGCAUGUUGAAAUUUUUAACUUAUGGAGCUGGCGGCCAGACACGUGCUUCUCGUAGAAAUCAGAGGAGUCCACGUAGUUGCUAUAGUUGUACAUUUCGGCUUUAGCGGCUGCAAGAGCCUUGGCCUUCCCAAGGCAUAUUGCCAAAUUUUUAACUUAUAUAGCCGGUGGCCGGACACAUGCUUCUUGUAGAAAGCAAAGGAAUCCGUGUAGCUGCUAUAGUUGUAUAUUUAGGCUUUAACUCUUGCAAAACUUAAACAGUAGACCGUCAGCUAGAAGCAUUGCUUUUAAAUAAGCAGACGGGUCCACAUUGCUUUUAAAUAAGCAUGCUUCUUGUCAGCUGUUGGGUCGUCGACUGAGCGCCUUACUUACAGAAGCAGACGACCCGCGUGACCAUUUAGGCGUCGUCCCUGGCUCUCGGAGGCGUUUUAGGCUUAAGAUGUAGGUGAAAUCGUGCCUCAGAGGCCAUAGCCUUUGGAGAUGCUGGUCUCUCAAUACGAAUCUCUAGGGCAGCAAUUGUAACUUGACUCCACAAGUCAUUUAACUAGUAUUGCAACAUUUUAGAGUUGGGUUACGUUCUUGCAGACUUACGCGUUGAGGACGAACCAUCUAGUCAUGUGAAUUCUUUCAUGGGUAGGAAUCCUGUACUUAGCGUCUCUUCUGGUUAGAGACCUGGGCUCCUGCGAAAUUGAAUCCUUCCGUCGGCUAAGUCUUUUUAAGAAAAAGACUAUUAUGGCCAAUUCUGGGAUCAGUCUGGCGUAAGUAGUUGAUGCAUUUAGGGGGAAUUGAGCAAUCGGAAAACCCAUCCACGUCUGGAUAUCCUGAAUCAGUUUACCCUCUCCUGAUGAAAGAGCAUACACCAUGUCUGCAAGGGCAUUAGCGUCUUCUGUUGUCACAUGGGUGGUCAGUUUGUUUAUGCAUUCGGCCUAAGCUUGUGAAUAAUAACUUCAAUCUUUAUUGAAAAUAAAGAAAUGUAUUAACUUUGCUUGUAGGCAAUAAUAACAUAACAACUAAUAGUCGUCAACAUGUGAGGUCUUGUUCGUCAAGCUGCUUGAGUCUUCGAACUUUAUUUGUCUUAAACAAUGUCCAAGGAAUGGUGGGAGGUCACAUGUCGUACUUUCUCAGGUUGUAGGCAUUCCACUGUUUUUCGAUCUCUUUGUCUCUCAUAGUGGUGAGGGUAUAGCUGCCCUUUCCAUUUACUCGGCUGAUUUUGUAUGGACCUUCCCAGAUGGGAGUUAUCUUUUUGGAGCCUUCCUGGUGGACGGUUAUGAAGGCUUUUCUGAGGAAUAAGUCUUCUAGCUGGAAUUAUUGGAUUUCGCCUUCUUGUUGUAGUUGGAGAUGAGCUAUUGCUGAUAAACUGCAAUGCGGGUGAUAACUUUCUCGCGCUCUUCCUCUGCCAAGUCUAGGUUUUUGGCCAUCUCAUUCUCGUUCUGCUCAAAAUUCGGCAGUACGGUGCCAAUACUUGGCUCCAUGAUAUUGGGAGGGAUAAUCGCCUCAGAGCCAUACGCCAAGGAGAAUGGAGUUUUACCGGUUGCUUGUCUCUUGGUGGUGCGAUAUGCCCAUAGAACACCGAUGAGCUCGUUUGGCCAAUUGCCCUUCUUGUCUGAGUGGUACUUCUUGAGGCAGUCGAGAAUGGUCUUGUUAGACGCCUUGGCUUGCCCAUUGCCCUGUGAAUACCGGGGCGUCGACAUGUGCUGCUUGAUGCCAUAUUUUUCGAAAAACUUCGCCAAGUCUUUGCCCACGAAAUGCGGACCAUUGUUUGUGAUGAUUGAGUGAGGGAUGCUGAAGCGGCGAUGAUGUUCUUCCAUAUAAAGUGUUCUAUGUCUGUCUGGGUAGUUGUAGCCAUAGGUUCAGUUUCGACCCAUUUUGUGAAGUAAUCGGUCGCUAUGAUCAUCAUGCCUCUGCCCCUAAUAGCAGGUGGCAUUGGUCUUACCAGGUCAAUCGGCCAUUGCAUGAAUGGCCAAGGGCUCGUCUGCGGGUGAAGUUCGUUAGCAGGUAGUGCUGGCACAUGCUUGAAGCGCGGGCAACUAUCGCACCUUUAUACAUACUUCUUGGCGUUUUGAUGCAUGUUAGCCAGUAGUAGCCAGCGUUAAGAGCCUUUUGUGCUAGAGAGCUACCUCUAGAGUGGUUUCUACAAACGUCUUCGUGGAUUGAGCUAAGAAUCUUCAAGUUAUCGGGGAGGCGAUAGGCAGCGGAGAUGUGGUCUUGAGAAGAAUUUGCGAACGAGCAUGUCGUUCGACAUGUAAUAGUGUGCUGCCUUCAUCUGGAGCUUCUUGGACUCUAGUCUGUCGGUGGGGAGCAUUUCGUUGACUAUGUAGUUGAUGAUGGGAUCUUGCCAACUUAGAGUUAUGUUGAUAUGUGCCACCUGAUAGGAGCAUAUUUAUGCGACUUAGUUAGCUUGUUUCUUGCAUUUAUGUCGUUAGUUCUUACUUAUUAUAGUGUUUUAAGCUAUUUUUGUGUGUUUGUAGGUCCAAAUGACAAAGUUGGCAAGAAAGUGCAUUUUGGAGCAUUUUAGAGCAGUUUUGGGGUGGAAUGGAUAGCUUACAUAUGGAGCACCAGCAAUGGACGAAUUUGAAGACCAAAGAUGUCUAGGAAUGUGCUAAAGAAUUGAAGAAAUACAUUCAAGACAAAGAAGAUAAGGAAUCAGCUAAAAUGAAGGAACAUUAUCCAAAACCUUAUCCAACCUUAUCUUAUCCAAACUAACCUUAUCUUAUCUUAUCCUAUCCGAAUCAUAUUCUACCUUAAUUUCAGUUGCAAGGGGGACUCUUUAUCACAUUAGAAUACCUAAUAUCUCAUUCUAGAAGCCCUGAAACAAUGCAAAUAACCAUAUUCCUUUUCCCUUAAAAAUCUGACGAAUUUAAUCCCUUUCUAAAAGCUUUGUGCUGAAUUUCCUAGUCCUAUUCCUCUAAGAUUGUGUAAUCCUUCUCCUCCACAACCUUUGUGCCAAAACCCUAGCCUAUAAACACAUAAUUUUGACCCCAUUUUCAGAUCACCACCCUCUACCAUAAUUCACACAGCCAUUCACCACAAAUUCGUCCACACACAAAAGCCUUAAGUCAGAAAAUCCCCAUUGUGCCGCAGCUGUGCAAGGAAGGAGAAGAAGGAGCCACCUGGAGCCGUGCUUGCCAUUCAAGACAUGAUGUGAAAUAUUCUAACACACAAAUUAAACCCUUUUAUUGACAAUUGUAGUAAAGAUGUAAGUAGGGAUCGUUUUAGACCGGGGAUUAGGAGGGAUUGCUAAUCUACUUAAAACUGACUCAAAAAUAUAAAACUAAGCUAGAAAACACUUAACUAGACUCAAAGAACUCAAAACAAAUUAAAAAGACUCAAAACAGCACAAAACAAUCAAAUAGACUCAAACUAGACACUAGAAGGUGAUUUGGACGAAAAUUGAUUUUAGUUGACUCAAAACACUUUAAAACACUUAAAACACAAGUUUGGACAAAUUCUAACUAAUUUGACACAAUAAAGUAAAGGGGAUUGGGUGUUUGACGAAUUUAAAGUAAAACAAGUAAACUAGACUUAAACAGAUUUUGGCACGAAAUUGGUGAAUUGGAUGGAUGAUAAGCUAGCUAGAGGGUUAUUCUCCACAUAUGACACACUUGCAUACAAAUCGAUUUCCAGUUGCUUUUCCAAUAAACCAUGAACCUCGACACCCCAGAUUAACCAUGAACAGCACUAAUUAACGCUCAGAUUUUCCUUAAGUCAUUGAAUUGGAUGGAUAAUGCAUCGACAACUCAAAUUAUUCUUCGAAAGUUCACUACAUGAACAUCAUAACAAAGAUACAAUCAAAGAUCAUUAAGCUUUGUGAAAAUCAUAAGCAUUGACAAAGCAUUCGUAACUAUGAUGAGCAUGAUACUCCUACCAGGAAUCUACUUAACACGAUUGUGACUAGCAACCUCCACUACUUAUGAAUAUAAGUUCAUAACUAUUAGGUGAAAUUCCCUUAUAUUCUAACAUCAAAUUCAUGCAUAUGCAAACCAAGUAUGCAUCCUUAAUCUACAAACAAGAAUAAGUUCUGAAUCAAACAGUUAAGUGAUAGACGCAUAUUUAUGCGACUUAGUUAACUAGUUUUCUUGCAUUUACGUUAUUAGUUCUUAGUUAUUUUAGUACUUUAAGCCAUUUUCGUGUGUUUGUAGGUCCAAAGGGCUAAGGUAGCAAGAAAGUGCAUUUUGGUGCAUUUUGGAGCAGUUUUGAGCUUGGAAUGGAUUACAUAUGAUAUGAGCAAGAUGGAUGGACGAAUUUGAAGACAAAAGAGGCUAGGAACAUGCUAAAAAUCUGGUGAAACAAAUACAAGUUGCAAGAAGGGAUAAAUUUCUAGAAGGAUUGGCCAAAACUUCACUCAAAACCAUGCAUACCCCAUAAAAUUCAUCAAUGCCGUGGCCUUCCCUUUGUUUUACUUCCACCAGAUUUUUUAGUGAUGAUGCAAUGCCUAUCUCACUAUGACAUUUGAGUGGAUGAUGUAAUGCUUAACUCACCAUGACAUUUGAGUGGAUGAUGCAAUGCUUAACUCACCAUAACAUGUGAGUGGAUGACUCAAUACCUACCCUCACCAACAAUUCUCCACCUUGCCAUGCCUUACCUACUUCAUUCCACCAGAUUUUUGCAUUAAACAUGUCCAUCCUCUUCCUAUAAAUACCAUGGCAGCAACCUCAUUCAAAUCAUCCAGAAAUUAACCAUUCUCCAAGCCUUUCCUUGCCUCUCCUACAUAUCUAAACCCCUUCCCAUCCAUUCCUCCAAAUAACCAACCCUUCAACAUCAUUCCAACCUUGUUGUGGCGGCAAGGAGAAGGAGAAAAGUCCUUGGACGCGCUUGCUAUCCAACAUGGAUCGUUGGAACGUUUAGGUGCUUUCUUCCCUUUGUUUUUCAAUGGUUAAAUUUGUUUAUCUUUGUUUUGUAAUAAUGAGGAACUAAACCCCCCUUGGCUAGGGGGGGAUUCAAAACCAUGUUUAUGCUUGCUAUAUGAUUUGAUUACUUCCAAUUGCGUUUCUUGAAUUGUGAAUUCAAUUUACUUAUCCGUUCGUAUAAAAACUAAUUUGUGUAUGUUGGUUGAGAGUGCACGCUUAAUUUUCAUGCAUGAAUUUGAUGCUAGAAUAUAAGGGAGUUUCACCUAAUCGUUAUGAACUUAUAUUCACAAGUAGUGAAGGUUGCUAGUCACAAUCACGUUAAGUAAAUUCUUGGCAUAAGUUUCAUGCAAAUCAUAGUAACGAGUGCCUCGUCAAUGCUUAUGUUUUUCAUAGAACUUAAUGAUUCUUGCUUGUAUCUCUAUUAUGCAAUUCAUGUAGGGAACUUGUAGGGAAUGUUUUGGGUUGUCGUAUGCAAUCAUCCAAUCUAAUAACUUGUUGAAAAACUGAGAGUUAAUUAGUGCAAUUCACGGUAAUUUGGGGCGUUGAGUAUUCAUAAUUUAUUGAAAUGCAAUUGGAAAUCGUUUUGUAUGCAAGUAUAACAUGUGUGGAGAUGAAACCCUUAGCUAGCCUUCCAUUAUCCAUUCAACCCAAAAUUGUUUAAAAUCUAUUUAAGUUUUUAGUUUAUUCGUUUUUACUUUCAACUUCACCAAACUCAAAUCCCCCUUUUACUUUCUUGUUUUAAAAUCUUUUGUUUACAUUUUUAACUUUGUUUCUUUUUGUUUUUGAGUCAGUUUAGAGGUUUUAGCAAGCCCUCCUAAUCCCCGGUUUAGAACGAUCCCUACUUACAUACUUUGCUACAAUUGUCAAAAGAGGGUUUAAUUUGUGUGUCAAGUAAUUCUCGCAUCAUUAAGUACAUUGCAUUCACGAUUCAUAGAAUCACAACUGGAAGUAAUCAAUUCAUAUUGUAAAUAUGUUCAUAGCUUUGAAUCCCCCCAUAGCUAAAACGAGUUUAGCUCCUCAUGUUCGCAAAACAAAGAUACUUAAACUUAAACAUUGUAAACAAAAGAUGGAUUACACCUAAGAAUGUUCCAGCAAUUCAACUUGAAUGGAAAGCACGUCCUAAGGUCCUCCUUCUUCUUCUUUGCUGGGCACAAGGUUUGGGUGAAGGUUUGAGUGAUGGAUUGUAUGAAGGGACGUGUGUUUAGAAUGGGAUGUGUUGGUCAAUACCUUAGAAGCUACGGCAAUGGCUUAUAUUUAUAGGAGAAGGGAAGGCAUGGCUAGGAAUUAAAUUGGGAAGGAUUUAAUACUCCAAAUCCUCCAAGAAAAAGGUAACAAGACAUAAUCCCAAGAGGAAAAGGGAAUGUAGGAUGCGGCAAGGAAAAAGGGAAAGGGGAAUCCUUUGCCGUGCAAGGGAAAGGGAGAUUUGGUGCGGCAUCCCUCUUUGACUAGGAUUAAGUCUUCUAGAAUCAUUUAUUUAGUGUCCUAGAAUAAUUAGAGAUCUUCCUUACAGCUGGAAAUUAAGUGGUGAAGGAUCAGGAAAAUUUAGGACAAAAUAAGGUAACUUUGGCUAACAUUCAUUCUUUCUUGCUUGCAUCCUUUACUUCAUUUUCUUGAAUUAAUUUCUUCAUAUCUUUAGCAUAAUCCUAGCCUCUUUUGGUCUUUAAAUUCGUCCAUCCACCUUGCUCCAUGCAUGUGCUAUCCAUUCCAAGCCCAAAACUGCUUCAAAAGGCACCAAAAUGCACUUUCUUGCUACUUUAGCCCAUUGAACCUAUAAACACACGAAAAUAGCUUAAAAUACUAAAAUAACUAGGAACUAAUAACAUAAAUGCAAGAAAACAAGCUAACUAAGUUGCAUAAAUAUGCUCCUAUCAAAUUAGCCCACACUUAGCUUUUGCUAGUCCUCGAGCAAAACAAACAAAACACAACCUAGACCUUCCAACAUUUGCCUCAAGGAUUUCCAAUGAAACAUGACAUGACAUGUCAAAGAUGACCACUUACACAGAUUUUAGUCAUCCUUACCCUCGAGCACACACUUAAUCAUAGUCACCACUUACUAGCUCGCAUUUAAUCAAUUAAAACAACAUUUUGAAUGUAGUAACAUGUCUUAGAGAAUUCCCUUAAUUCUUCACCAGAUAUACUCUCUAUUUUCACACAGAUUUUCUGACUACACUCCCUAUACUAGGUAUAUGUGAGAAGAUUGAUGUAAACAUGUAGACUAGUACUCACAUAUGCUUUUAAACAAAGAAGGCAAUUUCUGGAAUUAUUAAUGCAUGUAUAUAUAUGAUCUCAUGAACGGAAUGCCACUACUUAGAAGCAAGAACCAGGGAUUCUAUAUGCUCACACCAAUUUCAAACUCCAUAGAUUGAAACACAUCACACCCAAGAUUGAAGUCUAAGGGUUGUAACGGGGCUAGGGUAUUGGCUAACAAAGAAAAGUAAGAAAAGACAAAUGUUCUUAAAGCAAUAGUGAGCAAAGUAAUGAAAUUGACACUUAGAAUUCACUUUUGAAUGCAAAAAUCCACUUUAAACACAAAGGGAAGAUUCACAAAACACUUAAGGCCAGAUUCAAACUUUUAGACCCUUUCAACAACCAACACUUGUGAGCUCAUUCUCACUUAUUUUCAACUAUUUUUCUUUUUUUUCACGUGUAUUUUUUUUUUUUCAAACCCGUGCCCUAUUGCUUUGGCACACAAAACACACUUUGAAAACCCUUCCCCCACACUUGUUUUUCUGCAUAAUGUUCAUAAAAAGGAAUUUCUUCUAAGUUAUGCUCCACUACACUUUAAGAACAAGGGUAUGGAUAGUCCUAUUCUAGGCUAGGUAGGGAUAAUGUGGCUAACAAAGAAAAUAGGCUAAACAAGGCUCAAAGGGGUUAAACCUACAAAACAAAUGCAUGGGAUGAAGGCUUUUUGGAUCUAGUGGUAACUACUAAAUAACUUCAUCUUGUUAUAUGUUAUGCACUCAAUUUUAAGCUUUGAAUGAAACGGGCAUGAGUUCUAGUAUUUGGAACUAAAAAUGAUGAAAACGCAUUCUAAGUAGCAACCAAGCAAUGAACUAAUGAGAUCAUGCAACGACUUUAGAAAACAAGGAUUCACAGAUUAAUAACUCUCCAAACAAGGAAUAGGCUCAAGUCUCUUAGGGUUGUAGCGUUAGUUUGAGUUCUUUCCUUCAAGCAUGUUACAAAAACUGAUUUUUUUUUCCUGUGUGAUUACAUGUUAAUUCAUAAACGUCAAUGAUAGGAGCAUAUUUAUGCAACUUAGUUAGUUUGUUCUUGUGCAUUUAUGACGUUAUUUCCUAGUUAUUUUAGUAUUUUAAGCUAUUUUCGUGUGUUUGCAGGUCCAAAGGGCUAAAGUAGCAAGAAAGUGCAUUUUGGUGCCUUUUGGAGCAGUUUUGGGCUUGGAAUGGAUAGCACAUACAUGGAGCAAGGUGGAUGGAUGAAUUUGAAGACCAAAAGAGGUUAAGAUUAUGCUGAAGUUAUGAAGAAAUUAAUUCAAGAAAAGGAUGUAAAGGAUGCAAGCAAGAAAGAAGGAAAGUUAUCCAUGUUUCCUUAUUUUGUCCUUAAACUUUCCUAAUCCUUUUCCCACCUAAUUUCCAGCUGCAAGGAGGAUCCUUAAUUAAAUUAGGACACCUAAAACCUGAUUUCUAGAAGGCCUUACCCAUUCCUACAUUGAUGCCGCACCAAAUCUGCAAGGAUCCUUCCUUGCCGCACAAGGAAACAGUUCCCUUUCCCUUUUCCCGACCACAUAUCUUCCUUCCUCUUUUCUUAAAGUUGUGCCGCACCCCACAUUCCCUUUCUUAAUGGAUUUUGACAUUUAUUUCCCUUUUCCCUUGCUAUGCAAGGGAUCCUUCUUUCCUAUUUUCCUUUCCUUUAUUUUCUGCCGCACCUUAGCCUUUAUUCCCUAGGGUUUUACAUAUUUUGGGAGUUAUAUAAGCCGUUGUCGUAGCCUUGGGGGGGAUCAUCAUAUCUUACAUCAUUCAUCACCACAGAGACAUACACCAACAUCCUUGCUGCAACUUACAAUCCAUCCAUUCACUACCAUACACAAUUUCAGCCAUUCUUUCAUACAAACCACCACUCAAACCUUCACCCAACCCUUGUGCCACAACAAAGAGAAGAAGGAGGACCAUUGGACGUGCUUGCCAUUCAAGUUGGAUUGCUGGAACGUUUUUAGGUGUUUUCAAUCUUUUGUUUUCAAUGUCUAAAUUUAUGUAUCUUUGUUUUGUGAACGUGAGGAGCUAAACCCCUUAUAGCUAGGGGGAAUUUCGAAACCAUGAUCAUAUUUGCAGUAUGAAUUGACUAAUUCCAGUUGUGAUUUCAUAAAGUGUGAAUGCAAGUUGCUUAAUUGUUUUAUUUAAAACUUAUUCUUGUAUGUUGAUUAAGGAGGCCUACUUAGUUUGCAUGCUUGAAUUUGAUGCUAGAAUAUAAGGGAGUUUCACAUAAUCGUUACAAACUUAUAUUCACAAGUAGUGAAGGUUGCUGGUCACUAUUGCGUUAAGUUAAAUUCCUAGCGUGAGUAUCAUGAUGUCAUAGUUACGAAUGCUUUGUCAAUGCUUAUGAUUUUCAUAGAACUUAAUGAUCUUUGAUUGUAUCUCUAUUAUGAUGUGCAUGUAGGGGACUAUUGAAGAAUGAUUUGGGUUGAUGAUGCGUAUCCCAUCCAAUUCAAUGACUUAAGGAAAAUCUGAGGGUUAAUUAGUGAUGGCACGGUUAAUCUGGGGCAUUGUCAUUCAUGGUUUAUCGAAAAAGCAACUGGAGAUUGAUUUGUAUGCAAGUGUGUCAUGUGUGGAGAAGGACCAUCUAGCUAGCCCAUCAUCCAUUUAAUUCACCAAAUUCAUCCAACUUUGUUUCAGUCUUUAAAUUACUUGUUUUUACUUUAAUUUCGUCCAAAACCCAAUCCCCUUUGCUUUAGUGUGUCAAAUUAGUUAGAAUAUGUCUUAGUUUGUGUUUUAAGUGUUUUGAGUCAUGUUAAAAUCAAUUUUCGUCCAUAGUCAUUCCUAGUGUCUAGUUUGAGUCUAUUUAGUUUUUUUAAGCUGUUUGAGUCUUUUAAGUUUGUUUCAAGUCUUUAGAGUCUAGUUAAGUGUUUUUAAGUUUGUUUUUGAGUUUUUGAGUCAGUUUAGAGUAGAUUAGCAAUCCCUUCUAAUCCCCGGUUUAGAACGAUCCAUACUUAUCCAUACUACAAUUGUCAACAAGAGGGUUUAAUUUGUGUGUUAAGUUAAUUUUCGCAUCAGUCAACUACAACCAAGUACUAACCAAAGAGUGUAUCAAACUUCCAUCCAUGUUUGUAACUUUCUUUAACAGUCAUGUAAUUAAAAAUCAAAUCCUCAUCAUUGUGUUGGAAGGUACCCUAAGACACAAACAAACACACAAAAACGACUCUUUUUGGGUUUUUCAAAACUUUUUCUAAUGUUUUUGUUAAAUUUUCAUAAUUUAUUUUCAAAACACACUAAAAACACUUAAAAACAGUGAGAAACAACUCUAAAAGUGAUAGGUGGUAAAAUCCAAUGAAAAUCAUGUGAAAAUAGCUUGUUUACCCCCCCACACUUAAAUCAAACAUUGUCCUCAAUGGUUCAAACAUAGAUUUACAUAUAAGCAAACAAACAAACAACGAGCAACCAUGGAAAAAUAAGUGCAGUAAAGAUAAGGGUUUAGGAACGCAAAUCUGGGUUUGGAGUGAGAAUUCCAACGUUCCCUAGUUGAAUGCAUGGGUUGCCUCCCAAGAAAUGCUUGCUUUAACGUCUUCCAGCCAGACGAAAGCUCCUCUUAAGUUCGAUUGGACCCCACGACAUGGAGGGGUAUUUCCUCCACCACAUGCUCCUUAAAAAGGUCGUAGUAAGGCUUCAAACGGUGCCCGUUCACUUUGAAUUCUUGGGCGGUCUUGAAACUUUAAAUUUGGACUGCACCAUAAGGAAAGACAUUAGUAAUAACAAAAGGACCAAUUCAUUUAGAACGCAACUUACCGGGAAACAAAUGAAGGUGGGAGUUGAAAAGUAACACUUUCUGCCCUAUUAAGAAUAUCUUGCUACAAAUCAUCUUGUCAUGGAAUGCCUUUGUCUUCUCUUUGAAAAUUCGAGCAUUCUCAUAAGCCUCGUGCCUAAUCUCUUCAAGUUCAUUCAAUUGAAGCUUUCUAUGAAUGCCAGCCACAUCUAUGUCCAUGUUGAAUGUUUUGAUAGCCCAAUGCGCCUUGUGCUCUAAUUCCACAGGAAGAUGGCAUGGUUUGCCAUAGAUGAGCUGAAAUGGGGACAUGCCAAUGGGUGUUUGUAGGCUAUACGAUACGCCCACAGUGCAUCAUCCAAACGCAAGCUCUAAUCUUUUCGAGUUGGUCCCACGGUCUUUUCCAAAAUUUGCUUGAUUUUUGAUGUGAAAAUUAACUUGACACACAAAUUAAACCCUAUUAAACAUGUAAUUGUAGUAUUAAGCAAGUAGGGAUUGUUCUAGACCAGGGAUUAACUAGGGCUACUAAUCUACACAAUUUAAACUUUAAAACAAUAAACCAGAUGAUGUGAAAAUUAACUCGACACACAAAUUAAACCCUAUUGAUUAUGUAAUUGUAGUAUUAAGCAAGUAGGGAUCGUUUUAAAUCGGGGAUUAACUAGGGCUGCUAAUCUACCUAAAUUAAAUUCUAAAACACUAAACUAGACGUAAAAAACACAAGACUAGACUCUAUAGACUCUAAACUGACCUAAAACACUCAAAUAAGCAAAACUAAGUUAAAAAGACUCAAAACAGGUUCUAAGGACUAUUUGGACGAAUUUAACACUAGUGAGACUCAAAACACUAAUUUGGACAUAUUGAAACACCUUUUUAACUAAUCUAAGACACUUAAUUGAAAGGGGGAUUGAUUUGGACGAAAUUAAUUAAAUCAAACAGAUUGUAAACUAAAGCAAACUAGAUAUGAAAUUAAGUGAAUUAAACGAUGAAAUAGGCUAGUUAGAGGAUCCUUCUCCACACAUAAACAUUUGUAACAUAAAUUGAUUUCCAGUAUUGUUUCUUUAAACCAUGAACGACAAUGCCCCAAAUUAAUCGUGAAUGCACAAAUUAACUCUCAGAUUUCCCUAAAUUCAUUGAAUUGAAUGGACAACGCAUCACAACCAAAUUAUUAUUCUCAAGUUCCCUAUAUGAACAACAUGAUAGAGAUACAUUCAAAGAUCAUUAAGUUCCAUAGAAAUCAUAAGCAUUGACAAGGCAAUUAUAACUAUGAACUGCAUGAUACUUUUGCUAAGAAUCUACUUAACACGAUUGUGACUAACAAUCUCCACUACUUGUAAUUAUAAGUUCCUAAUGAUUAGGUGAAAGUCCCUUACAAUUUAGCAUCAGAUUCAUGUAUGCAAACUAAGUAUGCAUCCUUAAUCAACACACAAGAAUAAGUUAUCAAUCAAAUAGAUAAGUAAAUCACAUUCAUGUUUUACGAAACAAUAACUGAAAGGAAUCAAUUCAUAUUAAACAUAUGUCCAUGGCUUUAAAUUCAACACUAACUAAUAAGAACUUAGUUACACAUGUUCACAACAAUUGAAAAGCAAAUUGAAAUAAACAUUGAAACUAAAACGAGGGAAGAAAGAACUCUUAGAACUCCCAAGGAUGCAGGUGGCUUGUGCACAAGGUCCUCUUUCAUCAAUGGAAUUCACAGCAAGGGUCCUUCUUCUCCAAAAGUGCAGCAAAGAGUUGCAGAAUGGUGAAUAUGGUGUGGCAAGUUGUGUUUCUGAAUGGUAGGGCGGGUGGUAACGAAUUUUGGCUAUAUAUAUAUAUAUAUAUAUAUACAGGCAUGGCACAAACCCUAGGGUAAUUAGUUUAGGUUUAGAACUUAGCAGAAAUCAAGGAUUAGGGCCUAAACGUGCGGCAAAAGUGUUUAAAUCCACCAAGAAAAAGGUUUGGCCAAAUUAAUUUCUGAAAAGGAUUUGCACAACCCAAAUCCAUAAAGAAUAAGGCUAACAAAAUCAGAAUCCAAGGGCAAUUGGGUGAGGAAAGGCACGACAAGAAUUGGAGGGAAAGGAAGAGGAGUGCAAGGCAAGGCAAAAGCCUUCUAGAAGGGAAUAGGCGCCACUUUCUUAGGGUUUCUAGAAACAAUGUGUUUUGUGGCAGAAAUUAGGACUUCUAGAAAGGAAUACUUCUAGAAAUUGCUUCUAGAAAUAGAUAUUUAGGUCCCCUUGCAGCUAGAAUUAAGGCAUGAUAAGAUUAGGAUAGGAUAAGAUAAGAUAUGGUUAGUUUGGAUAAGAUAAGGCUGGAUAAGGUUUUGGAUAAUGUUUCUUCUUUUGAGCUGAUUCCUUGUCUUCUUUGUCUUGAAUUUAAUUUCUUCAUCUCCUUAUCAGAUUCCUAGCCUUUUGAACUCCAAAAAUGUCUAUCCACCUUGGCCCAUACAUGUGCUAUCCACUUAAUGCCCAAAACUGCUAAAAAAUGCUCCAAAAUGCAAUUUCUUGCCAAUUUUGUCAUUUGGACCUACAAACACACGAAAAUAGCUUAAAUCACUAUAAUAAACACAAACUAAUUGCGAAAACGCAAGAAAAUAAGCUAACUAAAUCGCAUAAAUAUGCUCCUAUCAUCAGACUCUAUAGACUCAAAACUAACUUAAAACACUCAAAACAACAAAACUAAGUUAAAAAGACUCAAAACAAACUCUAGGGAGUUAUUUGGACGAAUUUAAGACUAGUAAGACUCAAAACAUUAAAUUGGACAGGUUUAAACACUUUUCUAACUAAUCUAACACACUUAAUUAAAGGGGGGAUUGACUUGGACGAAAUUAACUAAAACAAAUAACUUGCAAAAACAAAGCAAGGUAAAAACAAAUUUAGGUGAAUUCAAGGGUGAAAAGCUAGCUAGAGGAUUCUUCUCCACACAUGAAACAUAUGCAACAUAAAUUGAUUUUCAGUAUUGUUUCUUUAAACGAUGAACGACAAUGCCCCAAAUUAAUUGUGAAAAACACAAAUUAACUUUCAGAUUUUCCUAAGUUCAUUGAAUUGGAUGGAAUACGCAUCGGCAACCAAAUUAUUCUUCUCAAGUUGGUACUCAUGCCAUGGAUUUACCUAACACGAUUGUGACUAGCAACCUCCACUACUUGUAAAUAUAAGUUCAUAACGACUAGGUGAAACUCCUUUACACUUUAGCAUCAGAUUCAUGCAUGCAAAUUAAGUGUGCACCCCUAAUCAACAUACAUAAAUAAGUUCUCAAUCAAUCAGAUAAGUAAACCACAUUCAUGUUUUACGAAACAAAAACUGAAGGUAAUCAAUUCAUAUCAAACAUAUGUCCAUGGCUUCAAAUUCACCUCUAACUAAUAAGAAAAUUAGUUACACAUGUUCGUAACAAUUAAAAAGCAAUCUGAAAUAAACAUGGAAACAAAACAAAGGAAGAAAGAACUCUAGAAACUCCAAAGGAUGCAGGUAGGCUUGCGGCACACUCCUCCUUCUCCAAUGGAAGCCACGACAAGGCAUUGUCCUCUCUCCUCUGCGGCAAAAUAUGGAUUUUUGAAUGGGUGGUGGUGUAGAACGAAUUAUGGUGUGGUGGGUGGUGUUUUUGCCGCUGAAAGGGGUGUAGAAUUAUAUGGGGGGUGGUGGUGCGAAAUUAUGACUAAAAACACAUAUUUAUAGCCUACGGUUUUGACAAAUUCUGAUGGGAAAAGGCUUAGGAUUUUCGGCAAAGGCUUGGGCCUCAAUCUAAGGGGGAAAAGAACUAGGGUUUGUGCAGAUUUUAGGGUUUCUAGAAGGGUUUGGGGAGCCACUUUUGUAGGGAAUUCUAGAAACAAUGUUAUGUGGCUGAUUUCUAGAAGAACAAGGCCUAAAAACAUGCAGCACCAAUGUAGGAACAGAUAAGGCCUUCUGGAAAGGUUUCUAGGUGAUUUAAAUCAGAAAUUAACUCCCCUUGCAGUAGGAAUUAAGUUAGAAUAAGAUUAGGAUAGGAUAGGAUGAGAUAAGAUUAGUUACAGUUUGGAUAAGGUUUAGAUAAUUUUCCUUCUUUCUUGCUAAUUCCUUGUCUUCCAAGUCUUGAAAUAAUUUCUCCAGAUUUGUAGCACAUUCCUAGCCUCAUUUAAGAACCAAAAAUGUCCAUCCCUUGUGCUCCACAUGCAUGCAAUCCAAUUCAGCCUAAAAGUGCUAUAAAAAGUUUCAAAAUGCAUUUUCUUGCCAACUUUGCCAAUUAGACCUACAAACACACGAACAUAGCUUAAAUCACUAUAAUAAGCAUAAACUAACUAAGUAAAUGCAAGAAAACAUGCUAACUAAGUCGCAUAAAUAUGCUCCUAUCAAUUUCCCUGUUCGAAACCUCGGCUUGACCACUUGUUUGGGCGUGAUAAGGUAUUGCAACCUUAUGCGUGACAUUAUAUUUCUUGAGCAGUGCCUUGAUGGUUCGAUUGCAAAAAUGAGAACCUCAAUCACUUAUGAGAACUCUUGGCAUGCCAAACCUUGCAAAGAUGUUAGUUUUAAUGAAAUCUGCAACCACUUUAGAAUCAUUAGUACAGGUGGCUUUUGCUUCCACCCAUUUCGACACAUAAUCCACAACAAGCAAAAUAUAAAGGAAACCAUGUGAGGGAGGAAAAGGACCCAUGAAAUCAAUACCCCAAACAUAAAAAAUUUCGAUAGCGAGAAUGGAUGUUUGCGGCAUUUGGUCUCUUUGACCUAUAUUUCCUGUUCUUUGGCAAUGAUCACAAGUCAUACAAAAAGUUCUAGCAUCCUUAAAGACAUUAGGCCAAUAAAAUCCACAUUCUAAAAUCUUAUGUGCUGUGCGUUGUGUGCCAAAAUGACCACCACAUGCAUAUGUGUGACAAAAAGUUAAAAUUGAAUGAAAUUCGAACUCAUGCACACACCUACGCAUAAUCUGAUCAGAGCAAUAUUUCCACAAAUAUGGGUCAUCCCAAACAUAAAACCGUGCAUCCUUUAAUAGUUUAUCAUGUUGGUGCUUGUUUAGGUUGCUUGGAACUUGUUUAGACGCCAAAUAAUUCACCAAAUCUGCAUACCAUGGUUCACUUACCUUAACGGACAACAAUUGCUCAUCAAGGAACGUUUCUAGGAUAGGUAAUGACUCCUCAUUAUGCACCAAAUGGCUCAAGUGGUCUGCCACCAUGUUUUCACCCCCUUUCUUGUCCCUAAUUUCAAUAUCGAACUUUUGGAGAAGAAGCGUCCAGCGAAUAAACCUUGGUUUGGCUUCUUUCUUUGUGAGCAAAUACUUCAAAGCUGCAUGAUCAAUGUAAACAAUGACUUUAGUGCCAAUUAAAUAAGAACGAAAUUUAUCUAAUGCAAACACAACAUCAGGGAGUUCUUUUUCAGUGGUGGAGUAGUUUAAUUGAGCAUCAUUCAAGGUCCGGGAAGCAUAAUAGAUGACAUGUGGCUGUUUGUUCUUCCUUUGACCUAAAACAGCUCUAAUUGCAUAAUCUGAGGCAUUACACAUGAGCUCAAAAGGAAGACUCCAAUCUGGUAGAAUUAUGAUAGGGGCCGAAGUGAGCAAUUCCUUGAGGUGUUUGAAGGCCUUCUCACAUUCCUUGUUGAACUUGAAUGGCACUUUUUUGUUUUGAAAGAGACGACAAAUGGGCUAGGAAAUUUUGGAAAAAUCAUUGAUGAAUCGCUUAUAGAAUCCUGCAUGUCCAAGAAAAGAACGAACCUCUCUCACCGAAGUGGGAGAGGGUAAGUAGUGUACAAGAUCUAUUUUUGAUUUAUCAACCUCAAUUCCUUUUUCAGAGACUAUGUAACCCAAAACUAGGGCUGGAAAAAAAUCCCAAAAAUCCUAAACCGAACCAAAAAAUUCCCGAAACCGAACUGAAAAAAUCCGAAACCGAAAUUCCAGAAAAUUUCAGUACCCAAUACCGAACCGAUCCCAAAAUUUCGGUACGGGAAUCGGUCACAAGUUUUUGGGAUUUCGGUAAUCCCAAAACGAACCAAAAAUAUAUAUAUAUAUAUAUUAUUUAAUUUUUAAAUAUAUAUUUAGAAUUUUAAUAGUCGUUGGAUUCUGUUGAGAUUUGAUCUCAACUGUUGCAUAUAAAUUGUGUAUGAUUUAUCCUUCCUGGUGUGAAUGUAUAUAUGCGUGUCUAUGUGUGCAUGGGAAACAUGAAAAAGUUUGGCAUUUGGCAUUGUAAAUGACUAGGACAGAUAAGGAGGGGAAGGAGGAGUGAAAUGCACGUUAAUGACUAAUGGGAAUUUUGAUGCUCAAGUCCUCCAUGAAAUUUAAUAUGUGCACAAAUUAAAUUGUAAGUUACAGAUUAAAUUUAUUUUUAUUGCAACAAAUUGGUUUGGUUGUAUACUUGUAACUUACAAUGACCUAUGAAAUUUAUUAAGAAAAUUUAGUUUGUAAUAGAUUGGCAGCCCAAUAAAAAAAAGGUUGAAUUUUAGCCUAAAACAUAAUAUGUCAAAUUUUAGUCCAAAAGCCCAAAAGCCCAAAAUCAUUUUGGGAUUCCUGAAAAUUAGGAUUCCCGAAAAAUUGGUUUGGGAUCAGUAUUGAAUUUUGAAUUCUUGAAAAUUUUGGUUUGGGAAUCAGGACACGGGUUUCGGUUUGGUAUCCCAUACUGAACCACCCCUACCCAAAACUAUGCCUUGUUUUACCAUGAAAUGACAUUUCUCCCAAUUUAGAACAAGGUUAGUUUCAACGCAUCGUUUCAAGAUUAAGGUAAGAUUAUCCAAGGAAGCAUCAAAUGACUUACCAAAAACAUUAAAAUCAUCAAUGAAUACUUCAAUGAUCUUUUCAACAUAAUCUGAAAAAUACUUACCAUGAAUCUUUGAAAUGUGGCUGGUGCAUUAUAUAAACCGAAUGACAUUCGAUGAUAAGCAAAAUUACCAAAUGGGCAAGUGAAAGUGGUCUUUUCUUAAUCUUCCGGAGCUAUUACAAUCUGAUUAUAACCUGAAUAACCAUCAAGAAAACAAUAAAGUGCAUAACUAGUUAACCUUUCAAGCAUUUGAUCAAUGAAUGGCAAAGGGAAAUGACCCUUCCUUGUGGUGGCGUUGAGCUUUUCAUUCUUUUGGAUACGUGUUCUUGGGAACAACUUGUACCGGUGAAACCCACCGACUAUCAGAGAUUGGAUAGAUCACUCCAUAAUCAAGUAGCUUGAUAAUCUCCUUUUUGACUACUUUCAUUAUUUGAGGGUUGAGUCGGCGUUGAGCUUCUCGGGAUAGUUUAGCCCCCUCCUCCAAGAGUAUACGAUGCAUGCAAGUUGUAGGACUUAUACCCUUGAUGUCGGCCAAUGUCCAUCCAAUGGCUGUUUUGUAUUCAUUCAACAUCCUCACCAACUUUUCUUCUUCUUGUGCCGUGAGUGAGGAAGAAACUAUGACAGGCAAAGUUUCUUGGUCUCCCAAGAAAACAUACUUCAAAUGGCUUGGUAAUGGUUUAAGUUCGAGGGAGGGUGCCUGAAUUACUGAGGGUAGCAUUUUAUUAGUAGAAACUGAACUUGAAAUUGGAAUAAAAAACUUACCAUUUUGUUGUGGCAAUGACUCUAGGGCAGCCACCAUCUCAACUACUUCUUCACUAGGGUGCACGACAUGGAUGUCUUCAUGCUUGCCAUGGGUGAGCAUUGAUUCUGCCCAUUGGUUUUUAGGCCCAUUCCUUUUGUAAUGGUUGUUUCAAGGGCAUCCUCAUUCAAAUCUUCAAAGGAUUGUUGCGCCAAUGAAUCAAUUAUAUCAAUAGAAAAACAAGAAUGAUCAUCACUAGGGUACUUUAUAGUUUCAGAAAGAUUGAAAUCAAUAACAUCCCUAUCAAAUUCCAUGGAUAAUUUUCGCAUCAAUUAGUGGUAUUCAACAAAAUCAAGGAGAAUCCUUCCCUGCGUACUAUGAAUGUUUUUAAGGUCUUAUUGCUUCAUGUCCUCAACACCAAAUGAAGGAAGAGUUGCUCAUUCAAUACUUUUACGAAGGACUACUUCCUAUUGAACGCCAAAUGUUAGAUGCCUCAGUGAGAGGUGCAUUGGUUGAUAAGACACCCAUGGCAGCCAAACUUUGAUUGCUAACCGAACAUUAAACGCUCAACAAUAUGAUGGAGUUGGGCAGAGAGACCUCCCACGACAGCAAGUAAAUGAGGUAAGUUCCAUUUCUGAUUUGCAAUCUCAAAUAACUAACCUUACUUCUAUGUUUUCACAGUUUAUGGAAUGAUGCAAAACGCAAGGAAUUUCCCUAAGUGUGUGUGGCGUAUGCUCAAUUCAAGGCCACCCAUUUGAGAAAUGUCUCAAUUGAUUGAGAACGGUGGAUGGGAAAGUGCAAACGCCAUUGGCUACCAAGGCCCGAAUCAGCCCCGAUCCAUAUGCCAACACUUACAAUUCGGGAUGGCGUGAUCACCCAAAUUUCAAAUGGAAUGAGUCACAACAACUUGCCCAACAAAGAGGAUUUCGGUCACAACCCCCUGGGAUAUACCUAAGGCCCUACGCACCAGCACAACCUCAACCACAACUUGCCCGAACUAAUUCAGGUACAUUCAUGGAUAAUGAUCAAAUUGUUCAAUUACUAACCUCUUUGGUGCAGGGGUAGCAAAACCAAAACAAAACAAUGCUCAAUCAAGUUAAGGAGGUGGAUGAGUUGAAGAAACAAAUGGGCCAAAUGACAGAGUUCAUGGGGCAAUUCAAAGAGCAAGGCAAACAGCCUAGCACAACCGUUGUGAAUCCAAGGGGAGAAUUGAAUCAGCCAAGGCCAUUACGUUGAGAAGUGGAAAAGAAGUUGGAACGGACCCCCAACCAUCAAAAUCUGCCCAAAUGGAGGACGAGAAACUGCAAUAAGAGGAGGAUGUCCAACACAUACCCACGACAAGGAAGGAAACAACCUUGUCGUGCACUUCUAGCAUCCCUAAAUCGUCCACCAUAGGUAAGUUAGGUCCAAUUUCGGUUAAUUCUAACCCUAUUCCACCCAAUGUUCCUUUCCCUCGUAUACUCAUGAAAACAAAGAAGGAAGAAAGUGAAAAAGACAUUCUUGAAACAUUCAGAAAAGUACAAGUCAAUAUUCCCCUUCUUGAUGCAAUCAAACAAGUCCCCAAGUAUGCCAAGUUCUUGAAGGAGCUAUGCACCACAAGAAAGAGAAUUUUGAACAAGGAGGUGGUAAGAGUAGGUGAAAAUGUUUCAGCCGUUUUGCAACAUAAACUGCCCCCUAAAUGCAAAGAUCCGGGCAGUUUUACAAUUCCUUGUGUAAUAGGCAAUACUCGCUUUGAACAUGCCAUGUUAGACUUAGGUGCAUCCAUAAAUGUCAUGCCCUAUUCCAUUUAUGCAUCUAUGAACUUGGGUAAGCUGAAAAAUGAUGGGGUAAUUAUUCAAUUAGCCGAUAGAUCUAACGCAUAUCCAAAAGGAGUUUUGGAAGAUGUUUUAGUGCAGGUUAAUCACUUGAUCUUUCUGAAUGAUUUCUAUUUUUGAUUUAUCAACCUCUAUUCCCUUUGCUGAAACUAUGUGACCUAAAACUAUGCCUUGUUUAACCAUAAAGUAACAUUUUUCCCAAUUCAAAACAAGGUUAGUUUUAAUGCACCAUUUUAAGAUUAAAGUAAGAUUAUCUAAACAACCAUCAAACAACUCACUAAAGACACUAAAAUCAUCCAUGAAAACUUCAAUGAUCUUCUCAACAAAAUAUGAAAAUAUACUUAUCAUGCAUCUCUGGAAUGUGGCUGGUGCAUUACACAAACCGAAUGGCAUUCGACGAUAAGCGAAAGUACCAAAUGGACAAGUAAAAGUAGUAUUUUCUUGAUCAUCUGGAGCUAUAACAAUUUGAUUAUAUCCCGAAUAACCAUCAAGAAAGCAAUAAAAAGAAUGACCAGCUAACCUUUCAAGCAUUUGAUCAAUGAACGGCAAAGGGAAGUGAUAUUUUCUUGUGGUGGCGUUGAGCUUCCUAUAGUUAAUGCAAACUCUCCAACCGGUUUGGAUACGAGUGGGCACAAGUUCAUUCUUUGCAUUCUUCACCACUGUGACUCCUGAUUUCUUUGGUACAACUUGAACCAGUGAAAGCCAAUGACUAUCUGAGAUAGGGUAAAUGACUCCACAAUCAAGAAGCUUGAUAAUUUCCUUCUUCACAACUUCCAUCAUUGGAGGGUUAAGUCGACGUUGAGCCUCUCGAGUUGGUUUAGCCCCCAUCUCUAGAAGUUUGCGAUGUAUGCAAGUUGUAGGGCUAAUUCUCUUGAUGUCGGCCAAUGUCCAUCCAAUUGCCGUUUUGUGCUCUUUGAACACCUGAAUCAAUUUCUCCUCCUCCAUUGCCUUGAGUGAUGAGGAAACAAUGACGGGCAAUGUCUCGUUAUCUCCAAAAAAUACAUACUUUAAAUGGUCCGGCAAUGGUUUAAGCUCAAGGACGGGUGCCUGAAUCACGGAAGGUAACAACUUGUUAGUAGAAACGGGAAUUUGAAUUGGGAUUGGAGGCUUACCAAGAUGUUGUGGCAAUGACUCAAGGGCAGCAACCAUCUCUCCUAUUUUUGCACUAGGGGGCACGGCAAGGAUCUCCCUAUCCAUGCCGUGAGGGUGCUUGAAAUCUGCCCAUUUGUUUUGAAGUCCAAUUCCUUGUGCAAUUGUUGUUUCAAGGGCAUCCUCAUUCAAGGAGUCAAGGUAAUCCUGCGCCAAAGCAUUAAAUACAUCAAUAGAGAAACAAGAAUGAUCAUCCUUAGGAUAUUUUAUAGAUUCAGAAAUAUUGAAAUCAAUAACAUCCCCAUCAAAUUCCAUUGUUAAUGUCCCUUUAAACACAUCUAUCUUGGUGCGGGCUAUUUUCAUGAAGGGUCUUCCAAGGAGGAUCGUCAAGGGUAUAGAAUGGGCUGAAUCUUCCAUCUCAAGCACGUAGAAGUCCGCUGGAAAUACUAAGUCAUUAACCUGCACCAAAACAUCUUCCAAAACCCCUUUUGGAUAUGCAUUAGAACGAUCGGCUAAUUGAAUGAUAACACCAUCGUUUUUAAGAUCUCCUAGGUUCAUAGAUGCAUAAAUAGAGUACGACAUGACGUUAAUGGAUGCACCUAGAUCUAACAUAGCAUGCUCAAACUUGGUAUUAACAAUAACACAAGGAAUUGUAAAACUACCUGGAUCUUUGCAUUUUGGUGGUAGUUUUCCUUGCAAAACGGCUUAAAUAUUCUCACUUACCUUUACAACUUCUUUGUUUUAAAUCCUCUUCCUUGUUGUACAAAGUUCCUUCAAAAACUUAGCAUACCUUGGAACUUGUUUGAUUGCAUCGAGGAGUGGAAUAUUCACUUGCACCUUCCUAAACAUCUCAAGAAUAUCAUUCUCAUUCUCUUCCUUCUUUGAUUGCUUGCAUCUGCGAGGGAAUGGUGCAUUGGGUGGAAUAGGGUUAGAAUGGGUCAAAUUGAAUCACCCUUACCGGAAUUGGAUGGCUUAGGUUGAUAGGAGCAUAUUUAUGCGACUUAAUUGGCUUGUUCUCGUGCUUUUACGUUGUGUUUCUUUAGUUAUUUCAGUGUUUAAAGUCACUUUUGUGUGUUUUCAGAUUCUAAGGCCAAAGUGUGCAAAAUGAUGUAAUUUGGAGCCUUUUGGAGCAAAAGGAAUGGAUGAAUUGAAGACUUGAAGAAAUUAGGUUUCCUAAUCAACGAAGGAUUCCUAAUUGACAAAGGAUUCCUAAUCAACGAAGGAUUACUAAUUGAAGAUGGAUUCCUAAUCACAUGAGGAUUCCUAGAAGAACAAGGAUUCCUACUUGAAGUAGGAAAGUUAAGCCAAGAUUUCCUAUUUUGGUUUGACCUUUCCUAAUUCUAAAAGUCCUUAUGUUCUAGCCACUUUGAAGACUUCAUAUGCACUUAAGGACACAAAACAAAGGCCCUAGAACCCUUAGUGACCCUUGCCGCACACACCUUGCCCAUUCCUCUUCCUUACCGUGCAAGGGAGAGGGUUGUUUCCUGAUUCUUUGCAUUUAAACACAUUCCUAAUCUAUUUUAACACCUUGCCGCACCUUUUAGCCUAGUUCCUUUAAAUUUCUGAUUUGAUUUCCUAAUUCUAGAAGCUUUAGACUUAAUUUCUGUUUACCUAAUUAACCUAGGGUUUUAUUUCCUAAAUCCCUUUAAAUAUACUUCCUUUUUGCAGCCACAAUUCAGCCAUUCACUCCCAUUCACGCCAGAAUUCAUUCACCCAUCCUUGCCGCACCCAUCCUUCACCAUUCGCCAUAGUUUUUGACCCCAAACACUCCUAGCCGCACCAUACAUCCAUCCUAAACACCAUUCCACCCUUCUACACCAUCCAUAACCCCCAAAACUCACCACCAAACCACUUGUGUGCCGCAACAAGAAGGAAGAAGGAAGGACCCUUGGAUGUCUAAGCUUCAUUGUUGGUGCAUUCUAGGUGUAAUUCGUUUUAUGAUUUCAAUGUGUAAUUUCUUUUCUUUUCGUUUUGCUAUGAACAUGAGUAGCUAAACCCCUAUUGGUAAGGGGUGAUUUCAAAGCCAUGACUAUGUGUGCAAUUUGAUUUGAUAAAUUCCAGUUAUGAAUUCUUGAAUCGUGAAUGCAAUUGGCUUAACUAUUUGAUUAAUAACUUAUUUGUGUUUGUUAAUUAGGGGUCGACACUUAAUUGACAUGCAUAAAUCUGGUGCUAGAGUAUAAGGAUGUUUCACAUAAUCGUUACAAACUUAUAUUCAUAUGUAGUGAAGGUUGCUAGUCACAAUCGCGUUAAGUUCAAUUCCUAGCAUGAGUGACAUGAUGUUAUAGUUGCAAGUGCUUUGUCAUUGCUUAUGGUUUUCAUUGAACGUAAUGAUCUUUGAUCGUAUCUCUAUUAUGAUGUCAUGUAGGGGACGUUUGAAGAAUGCUUUGGGUUGUCGAAUGAUGCCAUCCAAUCCAAUAAUACAAGGAAAAUCUGAGAGUUAGCUAGUGAUGUCACGGUUAAUUUGGGGCAAUGUCGUUCAUAAUUCUAUGAAGGAAUAACUGGAAAUCGAGUCGUUUGCAUACGUGUCAUGUGUGGAGAAAGAGCCUCUAACUAAUCCAUCAUCCAUUUAAACUCCCAAUUCGUUUUACAAUCUGUUUUAAUUACAACGUUUUGUCUUGUUUUCAAUUUCGUCAAAACCAAAUCCCCCUUUAUUUUAAAGUGUUAGAUUAGUUAGAAAUCCAUUUAGUUUGUGUUUUUAAGUGUUUUGAUUCAAGUUGUAACCCAAUUUCGUCCAAAUUUGUGUUUGUGUUCAAAAUUGUCCAGAAAGUGUUUUUAAGGCAGUUUUGAGUGUUUGGUUGCUGUUUUGAGUCUUUUGGUUUGUUUUAGUGUUUUAAAUUUUAGUUUUGCAUUCUUUGAGUCUAGUUUAGUGUUUUAAACUUUGUUUUUACGUUUUUAAGUCAGUUUUCAAGUGUUUAGCAAUCCCUCAUAAUCCUCGGUUUAGAACGAUCCCUACUUACAUACUUUGCUAGAAUUGAUAAAAAGAGGGUUUAAUUUGUGUGUUUAGUUAUUUUACGCAUCAUAGGUGCAUUAGGUGGCUGUGGCAAGGAUGAUUCUUUCCUUGCUGUGGCUUUGUCCAUCUCCUCCUCUUCAAUCAGCAACUUUUCAUCGUCUUUUGAACUUGGUGAUAGGAACAUUUUUAUACAACUUAAUUGGCUUGUUCUUGUGCAUUUACGUUGUGUUUCCUUAGUUAUUUUAGUGUUUAAAGUCAUUUUCGUGUGUUUUCAGAUUCUAAGGACAAAGUAUGCAAGAAGAUGCAUUUUGGAGCCUUUUAGAGCAAAAUUGGGCUUGGAAUGGUUAUCACAUGCUUGGAGCAAAAGGAAUGGACGAAAUUGAAGAUUUGAAGAAGUAAGGAUUCCUAAUCAACGAAGGAUUCCUAAUUGAAGAUGGAUUCCUACUCAAAUGAGGAUUCCUACUCCAACAAGGAUUCCUACUUGAAGUAGGAAAGUUGAGCCAAGGUUUCUUAUUUUGGUUUGACCUUUCCUAAAUCCUAAUUGUCCCUAUGUUCCAGCAACUUUGAAGGCCUUUUAAGCAUUCUAGGACACAAAUUACACAUUCCUUGCAUGGUCCAAUUCCUUGCCGCACUUGUCCCACUUUCCUUUUCCCUUGCCGUGCAAGGGAACCUAUUUCCCUUCAGUUUUAGGACACUUUGCCUUCCCUAAAACACAUGCCGCAACCUCCUUGCCCUUUCCUCUUCCUUGCCGUGCAAGGGAGAGGGUUAUUUCCUAUUUCCUUGCAUUAAAACACAUUCCUAUUGUGUUUUAAUGCCUUGCCGCACCUCUUAGCCUUUUUCCUUAAGUUUUCUGAUUUUAUUUCCUAUUUCUAGAAGCCUUGGACUUAAUUUCUAUGAACCUAAAUAACCUAGGGUUUUAAUUCCUAAAACCUUUAAAUAAACUUCCUUUUUGCAGCCACAAAUCAUCCAUUCAUUCACCUAUUCACGCCAGAAAUCUAUCCCCACUCUCUGCCACAUCCAUCAUUCACUAUUCGUCCUACUUUCUGACCUAAAACAACCUCUGCUGCACCAUACACCUAGCCUAACCAUAAACCCAUCAUUCUACAGCAUCCAUAACCCCCUAAACUCACCACCAAACCUUGUGCCGCAGCAAAGGAAGGGAAGAAGAAGUGCUUGAAUGUUCUUGCUGUUCAAUUUGGAUCGUCGGAGCGUUUAGGUGUUUUCUUUUGUUUACAAUGUAUAAAUCUGUUUUCCUUUGUUUUGGGAACAUGAGGAACAAAGCCUUCUUGGCUAGGGGGCUAUUCAAAACCAUGAUUAUACUUGCAUAAUGAAUUGAUUACCUUCAAUUGUUAUUUCAUAAGUUAUGAAUUCAAUUUGCUUAAUUGUUUGAUUGAUACCCUAUUCUUGUAUGUUUAUUAAGAGUGCACGCUUAGUUUUCAUGCAUGGAUUUGAAGCUAAAAUAUAAGGGAGUUUCACCUAAUAGUUACAAACUUAUAUUUACAAGUAGUGAAGGUUGCUUAUAAACGAUCGCGUUAAGUGAAUUCUUAACAAGAGUAUCAUGCUCAUGAUAGUUCGAAUGCCUCGUCAAAAUGAUGUGAAAAAUAAGUUAACACACAAAAUUAAACCCUCUUUUUAUCAAUUGUAGCAAAGUAUGUAAAUAGGGAUCGUUCUAGACCGGGGAUUAUGAGGGAUUGCUAAACACUUGAAAACUGACUUAGAAAUGUAAAAACAAAGUUUAAAGCACUAGAUUAGACUCAAAGAAUGCAAAACUCACGUUUAAAAUACUAAAACAAACCAAAAACUCAAAACAGCAAUCAAAAGAUUCACAACUGCCUUAAAAACACUUUCUGGGCAGUUUUGAACACAAAGCAUCAAAUUGGACGAAUUUGGGUUUUAACUUGUACCAAAACACUUAAAAACAUAAACCAACACACUUUCCAAUUAAUCUAGGAAUUCAAAAUAAUUGGGGAAUUGAUUUGGACGAAAAUAAACUUAAAUGGCAGAUUGUAAGAGAAACAGAUUGUAAUACAAAGUUAUGAAGAAUCAAUGGAUGAUGGAAUGGCUAAGGGGUUCUUCUCCACACAUGAAAUAUAUGCAACCUAAAUCGAUUUCCAGUUAUCAAUUGAAUAAGUUAUGAAUCUCGACACUCCAAGUUAAUUAGGUCCGCUUAAAUUAACCUUCAGAUUUCCCUAGAAUCAUUGAAUUGGAUGAAUAUGCAUCGUAAACAAAUUAUUCCUAACAAGUUCUUUAUAUGAACAGCAUGAUAAAGACACAAGUUAGAAUCAUUACGUUCUUUGGAAAUCAUAAGCGUCGACAAGGCAUUCGUAACUAUGAAAAGCAUGAUACUCUUGCCAGGAAUCUACUUAACACGAUCGUGACUAGCGACCUUCACUACUUACGAAUAUAAAUUCAUAACGAUUAGGUGAAACAAAUUUAUAUCCUAGCAUCAAAUUCAAGCAUGCAAAUUAAGCGUGCACUCUCAACCAACAUACAAGAAUAAGUUCUAAAUCAAACGGUUAAGCAAAUUGUAUUCACAACUUAUACAACGAUAACUGAAAGUAAUCAACUUAGUUCACAUAUAUAAUCUUGGUUUUGAAUCCACCCUUAGCCAAAACAAAUUUAGCCAAUCAUACUUAAAGCAAAACAAAGAUUAUAUAAAUUAGACAUUGAAAUAUAAGAUAGAAAACACCUAAAAUCGUUUAACAACUCAGAAUGAAGAGCCAAACAAUCGUAGUGAAUCUGUCCCUGAUAGGAGCAUAUUUAUGCGCCUUAGUUAUUUAGUUCUUAUGCAUUUAUGUUGUGUUUUCUUAGUUAAGUUAGUCUUUUAAGCUAUUUUCAUGUGUUUUCAGGUUUUAAGGACAAAGUAAGCAAAAUGAUGCAAUUUGGAGCAUUUUGGAGCAAAAUUGGGCUAGAAUGAAGUUCAUGCACAUGAAGCACAAAGGAUGGACGAAUUUGAAGGAUUGAUGAAGCUAGGAAUGUAUUUUGAAGUUGAAGAAUUGAAGAUACAAAGUUUCCUAGUUGAAGUAGGAAAGGGCUUAAACGAAGGAUUCCUAAUCAAUGUAGGAGUCCUAAUUGAAGAUGGAUUCCUAGACGAAUGAAGUUUCCUACUCAAGCAAGGUUUCCUAUAUGAAGAAGAAGAGUUAAAGCCAAAGAAGCAGCUCAAGAUAAGGAUCUUAUCCAAAACCUCAUCCAUAACCUUAUCUUAGCUUAUCUUAUCCAAACAAACCUUAUCCUAUCCUAUCUUAUCCUAAUCCAAAACUAUCCACAUCUCAGCCACUUAGGAGGGUUUCUAACUAGAUUAGGAUGCUUAAAAUGGGAUUUCUAGAAGACCUAAUCUUAUCCUACAAAAAUGGCGCCUAGGAGCCUUUCUAGAAGCCUAAAAAUCUGCCUUGUAUUUCUUUCUAGAAACUAUCCUUUUGCCAUGAGUUCUCACCCAUUUCCUUUGGGAUUUUGGUUUCUAGAAGCCUUAUCCUUUCACACUCUUUGUGCCGCACAUUAUCUCCCAUUCCUUUUGGGUUUUUGAAUUGUUUUCCUUAUAGGAUUGUAUGUUAUUAUCCUAUGCAGUUUAGGCCUUUAAAACCUUGUCCUUGGCUACCUAGGAGAUGGGAUUUUUAGCCUAUAAAUACAAGCUUAUGCCGCACCCUUUCACUCACCACCCUCUACCAUAUUUUCACUACAUCAUUCACCCAAAAACCCCUCAUUAUGCCGUGAGUUUGCAAGGAGAAGAAGAAAGGAAUCUGCAGCCGUGCAUGCCAUUCAAGGAGCUUGGAUUGUUGGAGCGAUUCUAGGUGUUUUCUAUCUUUAUGUUAAUGUUUAAAUUUAUUCAUCUUUGUUUAUUUGCGAACAUGAGGAACUAAUUUCUUUAUAGUUAGAGGGGAAUUCAAAGCCAUGAUCAUAUGUUUUAUAUGACUUGAUUACCUCCAGUUAUGAUUUCAUGAAUCGUGAAUGUGGUUAACUUAUCUAUUUGAUUGAUAACAUGUUUAUGUAUGUUAAUUAAGGAUGCAUACUUAAGUUCGCAUGCAUGAAUUUGACGCUAGAGUAUAAGGGAAUUUCACCUAAUCGUUAUUAACUUAUAUUCAUAAGUAGUAAAAGUCGCUAGUCACGAUUGUGUUAAGUAAAUCCUUGGCAAGAGUAACAUGCGUAUCCCAUAGUUAUGAAUGCCUCGUCAAUGCUUAUGAUUUCCAUUGAACUUAAUGAUCUUUGAUAUGUGUCUCUAUCAUGCGUAUUCCAUAGUUAGGGUCCUUGAUAAGAAUAAUUUGGUUGUAAUGCGUAUUCCAUUCAAUUCAAUGAAUCUAGGGAAAUCUGAGAAUUAAUUGGUGCAAUCUAGUUAAUUUGGGGCAUUGUCAUUCAUGGUUUGUUGAAAGAGUAACUGGAAAUCGAGUCGUAUGCAUAUGUUUCAUGUGUGGAGAAGGAACCUUCUAACUAGCCUUUCACCAUUCUAUUUCAUCAAAAUCGUUUUCAUUAAAGUUUGUUUUCAAAGUUUAUGUUUUAAAGUCCAAUUUCGUCAAAACCAAUCCCCUUACUUUUAAGUCUUGUUUUUAGAGUCAAAACUUGUUUCUUUUAAGUCUUUUGAGUCUUUGAAGUUCUAUUUGAUCUGAUAUUAACUAGCACUCAAAUUAAACCCUCUUUUUGUCAAAUUGUAGUAAAGAUGUAAGUAGGGAUCGUUCUAAACCGGGGAUUAGGAGGGAUUGCUAAACACUUGAAAACUGACUUAAAAACAUAAAAACAAAGUUUAAAACACUAAACUAGACUCAAAGAAUGCAAAACUAAAGGUUAAAACACUUAAACAAACCUAAAACUCAAAACAGCAACUAGAAGGCUCAAAACUGCCUAAAAACCACUUUCUGGGCAGUUUUGAGCACCUACACUAAUUUGGACGAAAUUUGAUGAAAACUUGAAUCAAAAUACUUAGAAACACAAAUCAAAACACUUUCUAACUAAUCUAAGACUUCAAAUUAAAGGGGGAUUUGUUUUGGACGAAAAUUUAACACAAAACAGAAACUUUAAACUAGCACAGAUUGUAAAACGAUUUUUGGUGAAAUAGGAUGGAUAAAAGGCUAGUUAGGAGGUUCUUCUCCACACAUGUCACACUUGCAAACAAAACGAUUUUCAGUUGUUCUUCCAAUAAAUUAUAAAUACUCAAUGCCCCAAAUUAACCGUGAAUUGCACUAAUUAACCCUCAGUUUUUCCACAAUUUAUCAAGUUGGAUGAUUGCAUACGACAACCCAAAACAUUCCCUACAAGUUCCCUACAUGAAUUGCAUAAUAGAGAUACAAGCACGAAUCAUUAAGUUCUAUGAAAAACAUAAGCAUUGACGAAGCAUUCGUUACUAUGAAUUGCAUGAAAACUUAUGCUAAGAAUUCAUUCAACGCGAUCGUUUUCAAGCGAUCCUUCACUACUUGUGAUUAUAAGAUUGUAAACUAUUAGGUGAAACUCCCUCAUAAUCUAGCAUCAUAUUCAUGCAUGAAAAACUAAGCGUGCACUCUCAAUCAACAUACACAAAUAAGUUAUCAAUCAAAUAGAUGAACGAAUUGAAUCCACAACUUAUGAAAUAACAACUGAAUGUAAUCGAAAUCAAAUUGCAAGCAUGUACAUGGUUUCGAAUUACCCCCCAACUAAGGGGGUUUAGUUCCUCAUACUCACAACACAAAGUUUAUUGAAUUGAAACAUCGAAGACAUAAGAAAGAUUACACCUAAAACGCCAAGAAUUCCACUUUGAAUUUCUGACUUCAAGCUCCUCUUUCUUCUUCUCCUUGCUGCGGCAGAGAGGGUUUAGGGUGUUUUGGAUGUGAUUUUUGGUUUAGAAGGGAAUUAGGAUGAUAUGGUGGUGCGGCAAGAGGUAUGGGUGGUGUAUGGAGUGUAGAAUGGUGUAUGGAGGUGUAGAAUGGUGGCUGGAGUUGUAGAAUGGUUGCGGCAAAGAGUGGGAAGUGGGCUGGACGAAUUUUCUGAAUUAUGGAGAGGGUGAUGUUCGGCCAAAGGCUGUAAAACACAUAUAUAUAGGCACCUAAACCCUAAAGAAAUCAGGUUAGACAAUGGGCUAGGGUUUAGGUGCGGCUAGGGUUAGAAAUCCACAAGGAAUUUAGGGUUUACAAUCAGAUUUUUUGCAUGGGAAAAGGCCUAGGGUGCGGCUUGGGCUUAGGGUAGAUAGAUUAGGGUUUAACUUGGCAGAAUUUAAAUGAUUAGGCCCUAGGGUGUGGCUGAUUAAAUGGGCUAGGAUUAGGGUUAAGGUGCGGCAUAGGUCCAAGAAGUGAGGAUGGGUCAUCCAAAAGCCCAAAGCCGAGAAUAGAAACUCACGAAAAUGGAAACCUCCAAGAUAGAAACUUCCAACUUUAGAAACUUUGGUUGCCAAUUCCGAUUUAGGAAAGAUCAACCCAAAAUGGAAACUUUUAGGCUUAGCUUUCCUACUUCAAGUAGGAAACCUCAAAUCUUCAACUCUUCAAUUCCAUCCCAUCCUUGUGUUCCAAGCAUGUCCUUUUCAAUUCAAGCUCACAUUUUGCUCCAAAAGCUCCAACUUGCAUCAUUUCAUGUAAUAUGUCCUUUAAACCUGAAAACACAUGAAAGUAG